GGAACGCUCCAGAAGCAGUAACAGUGGCAGCAGUUAUAUACUGCCUUCGCUGCAUGGUCGAUGUCGAUAUUCCUCUCAACCAAGGCUGCUUGGCUCCUGUCAAGAUAUAUAUUCCACCAGGCUCAUUCCUUUCCCCGAGCGAGAAGGCUGCGAUUGUAGGGGGAAACGUUCUCACUUCUCAGCGAAUAACCGAUGUCAUACUCACAGCAUUUCAGGCAUGUGCCUGUUCCCAAGGUUGUAUGAACAACCUCACUUUUGGUGACGAU
rnacentral:misc_RNA from 1 species